AGCGAACGCUGGCGGCAUGCUUAACACAUGCAAGUCGAACGGGAUUGGGAGCUUGCUCCCAUGAGAGUGGCGCACGGGUGAGUAACGCGUAUGCAACCUACCUUAUACUGGGGGAUAGCCCAAAGAAAUUUGGAUUAAUACCGCAUAACAUAUUUGAAUCGCAUGGUUUAAAUAUUAAAACUCCGGUGGUAUAAGAUGGGCAUGCGUGACAUUAGAUUGUUGGUAAGGUAACGGCUUACCAAGUCUACGAUGUCUAGGGGGUCUUAAAGGAUGAUCCCCCACACUGGUACUGAGACACGGACCAGACUCCUACGGGAGGCAGCAGUGAGGAAUAUUGGUCAAUGGACGCAAGUCUGAACCUGCCAUCCCGCGUGAAGGAAGACGGCCUUAUGGGUUGUAAACUUCUUUUAUGUACCAAGAAAGAUAGUACGUGUAUUUAUUUGACGGUAGUAUAUGAAUAAGCAUCGGCUAACUCCGUGCCAGCAGCCGCGGUAAUACGGAGGAUGCGAGCGUUAUCCGGAUUUAUUGGGUUUAAAGGGUGUGUAGGCCGAUUUUUAAGUCAGUGGUGAAAUCUCUCGGCUCAACCGAGAAACUGCCAUGAUACUGGAAGUCUUGAGUUUAGAUGAAGUAGGCGGAAUAUGUCAUGUAGCGUUUAAAUGCAUAGAUAUGACAUAGAACACCGAUAGCGAAGGCCGCUUACUAAUCUAUAACUGACGCUGAUGCACGAAAGCGUGGGUAGCGAACAGGAUUAGAUACCCUGGUAGUCCACGCCGUAAACGAUGUUCACUCGUUGUUGGCAAUACACCGUCAGCGACUAAGCGGAAGUUAUAAGUGAACCACCUGGGGAGUACGAUCGCAAGGUUGAAACUCAAAGGAAUUGACGGGGGCCCGCACAAGCGGAGGAGCAUGUGGUUUAAUUCGAUGAUACGCGAGGAACCUUACCUGGGCUUAAACGUAUAUUGACCGUCAAAGAGAUUUGAUUUUCUUCGGACAAUUUAAAAGGUGCUGCAUGGUUGUCGUCAGCUCGUGCCGUGAGGUGUCGGGUUAAGUCCCAUAACGAGCGCAACCCCUAUCGUUAGUUGCCAGCGAGUCAAGUCGGGGACUCUAACGAGACUGCCGGUGUAAACCGCGAGGAAGGUGGGGAUGACGUCAAAUCAGCACGGCCCUUACGUCCAGGGCUACACACGUGUUACAAUGGCUGAUACAAAGGGCAGCUACCAGGUGACUGGAUGCUAAUCUCGAAAGUCGGUCUUAGUUCGGAUCUAAGUCUGCAACUCGACUUCGUGAAGCUGGAUUCGCUAGUAAUCGUAGAUCAGCAACGCUACGGUGAACACGUUCCCUGGCCUUGUACACACCGCCCGUCAAGCCAUGGAAGCUGGGGGUACCUGAAGUCUGUCACCGCAAGGAGCGGCCUAGGGUAAAACUGGUAACUGGUGUU
rnacentral:rRNA from 1 species